UAGGAACUGUGCGCACGUUAUUCGGAAUCACUGGGCUUACAGGGUGCGUAGGCGGCUUGUUAAGUAGGGUGUGAAAGCCCCCGGCUCAACCGGGGAAUUGCGCCCUAAACUGGCGAGCUGGAGUGAGAUAGGGGUGUGUGGAACUUCCGGUGGAGCGGUGAAAUGUGUUGAUAUCGGAAGGAACGCCGGUGGCGAAAGCGACACACUGGAUCUUGUCUGACGCUCAUGCACGAAAGCGUGGGGAGCAAACAGG
rnacentral:rRNA from 1 species